rnacentral:tRNA from 1 species
GGGGUAUAGCUCAGUUGGUAGAGCGUCUGAUUUGCAUUCAGAAGGUCAGGAGUUCGAAUCUCCUUAUCUCC